CAAUCAGCAGCCAAACUACACGGCGCGCAAUGAGUUCGAUGGUUGUUUCUGCCCCUCAGCCGAUAAUAAGUACAAUCGUUACUUUACUUUUGCUGUGUAAUUGUUGCUAUUGCUGUUGCUGUUGUUGCUGUUGUUGGUGUUGUUGCGUUUUUGAAAAGGUGAUAUGAAAUGUGCUCUGAUAAGUUUUAAUCAAGAAUAUUUUACUCGUAUUGCUUUGGGUGGCUCUCUGGGCCGAGUAGCAUUUGAAAAGUUGUAGUAGUAGGUCGAAGCGCGGAUGCGGGUCCGGUCCGUAUCGAUACACUCCUGUUUUCCGUUUACCUUUUUACCGUUUUCCCGGUGACCCCGGUAAGAUCCCAACCGUAAGGCGGUGGGCAGUGCCCGGCGAUAAUCACAGUGAUUUUCCGGAAACCAUUUCUCUGGGCGUGCAACCAAAGAAACCCCUUUUAUCGCAUCUAACAGGAAAAAAAAAAGAAGAAAGAAGAAAAAUGUUGCGCCGGCGCAUGGAAAAUCCUUUAAAUAUGUUUAACCACAAAAGCGACGUGAGUCUAACCAAGACAAAUCGGGCAACGGAUUGCGAGGCGCCUUGGGAAAGUCCUCCUGCCCCUCGGGAAAGAGUUGUAAUCCGUCGGCGUGACCUGUGUGACACUUUCAUUUGGCGGGUGAACGCCCACUCAUAAUCCGGUCAGUAUCGAAAUUGUACAGUAUGAGUACUAUGUGAGAUCGGAUAACCAGAUGCCCAGAUGAUCCUCGUUCCCCGAUGCCCGGGGUUCGGUCAUCAUCGAUGCCAACCACAUGUGCCAAACGCCCCUCAUAAUGACCGCAUCUGAUCUGAGCGAGAAAUUUGAAAACCGCCCGAAAUUCUCCCGAAUCAAUAUUUCUACACAUUUCUGGUCAUUGUGGGAAUAUCGGAAAGAUUCCGUCUGGACCAAUUCAUUUUGAGCUCGCUGGCAACAGGCAGCCAACCACAACAACACCAAUCGAGCAACAGUCUGGACAACAACAGCAACACCACCAACAUCAGUGGCAGCAACAACAAUGUGCCGGCAUGGCCUCCGCUUCGACCUGCCCCCCCACCCGAUCGAUCAUUGUUGUUGUUGCAGCUUUAGUGAGAGGCGUAGCUAAAAACAGGCAACAGACAUUGGCGAGAACGAGAGCCAGCGAACAGGCAGCAGCAGCAAUGGGUGAACGCAAUAUGUGCGAUAAGGUCGGCAGCAACAGCAACAGCAGCAGCACCACCAGCAACACCACCAGAAGCAGUGGCGAAGGAAGAGCGAGAGGGCUCCAAGGCCCCAACGAGAGAGGCGCCAGAGAGAGGCCGAAAGCCGGAGAGGAAAGUGCAAGCUUGGGGAGCAAACUGAAGCUGUACAAGAUCGAUUGAGUGGCGUUCGUCUAACGGCAUGUGGAGCAAAAAAAAAAAA
rnacentral:misc_RNA from 1 species